rnacentral:rRNA from 1 species
GGACUACUAGGGUAUCUAAUCCCAUUUGCUCCCCUGGCUUUCGUUCCUCAGCGUCAGUUACAGCCCAGCGAGUCGCCUACGCCUCUGGUGUUCUUCCUAAUAUCUACGCAUUUCACCGCUACACUAGGAAUUCCACUCGCCUCUACUGCACUCCAGUCCGCCAGUAUUCAAAGCAGUCCCAGGGUUGAGCCCUGAUCUUUAACUCCGAACUUAACGAACCGCCUACGAACUCUUUACGCCCAAUGAAUCCGGACAACGCUCGCAUCCUACGUCUUACCGCGGCUGCUGGCAC